ensembl:snoRNA
AGUACUUGAAUUUGUUUUUGUUUACCUUAUAGACAAAGACACAGAAAAAUGCAAAAACUAAAUCCUCUUUUGCAACUCAGAACUCAUUGUUUAGAAUGACUUUUGAUACACAUAAGAAGGAAUAUU